rnacentral:rRNA from 1 species
UGGGGAAUUUUGGACAAUGGGCGCAAGCCUGAUCCAGCCAUUCCGCGUGCAGGAUGAAGGCCCUCGGGUUGUAAACUGCUUUUGUACGGAACGAAAAGGCCUUUUCUAAUACACAGGGCUCAUGACGGUACCGUAAGAAUAAGCACCGGCUAACUACGUGCCAGCAGCCGCGGUAAUACGUAGGGUGCAAGCGUUAAUCGGAAUUACUGGGCGUAAAGCGUGCGCAGGCGGUUUUGUCAGACAGGUGUGGAAUCCCCGGGCUUAACCUGGGAACUGCAUUUGUGACUGCAAGGCUGGAGUGCGGCAGAGGGGGAUGGAAUUCCGCGUGUAGCAGUGAAAUGCGUAGAUAUGCGGAGGAACACCGAUGGCGAAGGCAAUCCCCUGGGCCUGCACUGACGCUCAUGCACGAAAGCGUGGGGAGCAAACA